UAGGGAAUCUUCCGCAAUGGGCGAAAGCCUGACGGAGCAACGCCGCGUGAGUGAUGAAGGUCUUCGGAUCGUGAAACUCUGUUAUUAGGGAAGAACAAAUGUGUAAGUAACUAUGCACGUCUUGACGGUACCUAAUCAGAAAGCCACGGCUAACUACGUGCCAGCAGCCGCGGUAAUACGUAGGUGGCAAGCGUUAUCCGGAAUUAUUGGGCGUAAAGCGCGCGUAGGCGGUUUUUUAAGUCUGAUGUGAAAGCCCACGGCUCAACCGUGGAGGGUCAUUGGAAACUGGAAAACUUGAGUGCAGAAGAGGAAAGUGGAAUUCCAUGUGUAGCGGUGAAAUGCGCAGAGAUAUGGAGGAACACCAGUGGCGAAGGCGACUUUCUGGUCUGUAACUGACGCUGAUGUGCGAAAGCGUGGGGAUCAAACAGG
rnacentral:rRNA from 1 species